GUUAAACUGCUUUUUCUUUAUUUUUUAAAAACUUCAUUCAAAUACAUGUGUAUAACCAUCUCACACUUCCAAAAGUGAAUCGGUAAAUGUAUGAUUGUGAAUAUUUCACUGAAAGCAAUGUUGUUCAGGAGGAUGUUCCAAAGUUUUGUUGUAAUCAUGUUUAAUAGUUGAUGCAUUUAAUACCUAUAUUGGUGUAUGAUGCACAUGAAACUGACAUGUACAAGUUGUAUAUUUAGCUUACCUGUUGAUGUUCCAGAUUUGCAAAGCUAUAUUAUUAAUCUUUGUAAAUUCUGAAUGUUUUCUCCUGUGUUUCCUGUUUCCACUUGUCUACAUAUCUCCUGUCAGAUGGACUUUAUUAAUUUCUCUCAAAUGAAAUAUGGGCUGUUAUAUGCAACUGCUUUAAACUUUUCCCCUGUGAUUUUUCAUUGCAUCCCUCUAUCUGGUCUGGACUACUGUGGAAUCAUUAAAAUUUAUAGGGCCAAUUUUCGUGGAUUGUGGGUUUUCUUGCUUAUGCGCAGAAAUAUGAUUUUGUGGAUGCGCCAGUUUUCAGUUUCAGUCGGAAUACAAUUGAAGUCUUUAAAAUUUGUUUUCGUCAAGGAUGUAAAUUCGUGGUGGAGAGCUACCCUUGAAUACCAUGAAAAUUGAGGCACCAUGAAUUCUAAUGAUUCCACAGUACUUUUUAUAAGCAAAGUAGAAGAGAUAUAAUUUUUUUUUUACAUUGUCUGAGUUGACAUUUCUUUGUUUUAUUCUGCAAGUGUAUAGAGCUUGCUUUAAAGCUGAACACCGUUCUUAAAUACUAAAUAGUCACCAUCACACAGGUAUAUAAACCCUUCAGUUUUGUUUCACCCGAUUGCACACCUGAAACUGGUCGAUGUGUAGUAUUCCUUUCGUUGUCUUUGGAAUUGAUUUCUUAUUUUGUACAUAUUCUGUUUAUUAAUAAUGCGUUGACCUGUUUAUUUGAUGUUAGUAUUAUCCUGGCUUGAAAAAAGUGCAUGAAAUUUGAUAAUUCCAUCGCAACCAAACCACCGCGAGGCAAGAUGUAUGCCCACAUAGAUGAGACCUCAACGGCAAAAUGCUUUAAACUGUUAAGAGGGAUGCGGCUUAUAAAGGGUUUGUGGUGAUAGUCGUGAUAAGAUAGAAAUAUGGCGGAAAGUGCCUAUUUACGAGCGGUGUUCUGCUUCCAUUUCAAAGCCUUAUAACUAUUAAACUGCAAGAUAAAUACAUGUAGAAUACAUGGUCACAAGGACCACUGAGGAGUGUGAGAUCUCCGAUAUUGAUUCCUAUGAUGAACCUGAGGGCUCUAGACUGAUGUCCGUCAACUUGUUUUUUUAAAUAAAUGAAAACUAUCGUAUACUUUU
rnacentral:misc_RNA from 1 species